GAUUAUCGCGUGUGUUGGGCGCCGUUGCAGAUUGUGCUGCGAGGUGUUCUCAGCGCAGUUUUGUGCCGGUCGUUGGUUGGGUAGGGCGUGUUUUUCGGGGCUGUUAUCAUUUUAUUUGGAGUUUGUAAAUCAGUAAAUCGCGUUCAUUUCGAUAGUCCAUCGACUGAAUUUAGUUAGUAGUGACGCGUCUAGUGUUUAUUAUUAGAUAAUCAGGUGUCGAAUAUACAAAAUCGGUAAUUUUCUUUGCAUUCAUUGUGCGUGUUGCAAGAUGCGUGCUAUCAACUUGUUUACACUGCACGUUCGCGAGAUACAGGUUGCAUGCAACGUUUUUGCAACUUUUGUUGUGAUAUUAUUUGGGCAAUGGAUUGGAACAUGGACAAUCUUCUUCGGGAUAACCAUGAAAGAACGGUCUUGGUGAAUUCUGCGCCAAAUAUUUGCCCGAGGAUCAACUCUUGGCUACCUGAAGUGGCGUCCGUCUUGUCCGUGUUCUAGCGACUUUCGUGCACCGCGGGAAAGAAAGGAAUUCGACCUGCAACCCGCGAAAAUUUGCAUAAAAGCGCGAUUUCUUCACCCUUUUCUCGUGAUAUGUUGGUAUUUUUUCGUGUUUGCACGCGACCUUAGCGGGUCAAUAAAUUAAACUUGACGUCUAGAGAUGCGGAAUUAAAUUCUCCGUCGGGUGGGAUUUUGCACCUGAGUCUGACAUCGUAGAAGGACCAUUCUGGUAUCAGAUUAUAAGACUAAUUUUUGAUGGUUUUGGGGAUUUUGCACCUGAGUCUGACAUCGUAGAAGGACCAUUCUGGUAUCAGAAUAUAAGACUAAUUUUUGAUGGUUUUUGGGAUUUUGCACCUGAUUCUGACAUCGUAGAAGGACCAUUCUUGUAUCAGAUUGGAUUUUGCACCUGAGUCUGACAUCAUAGAAGGACCAUUCUUGUAUCAGAUUAUAAGGAUUUUGCACCUGAGUCUGACAUCGUAGAAGCACCUUUCUUGCAUCAGAUUAGAUUUUGCACCUGAGUCUGACAUCGUAGAAGCACCAUUCUUGCAUCAGAUUGGAUUUUGCACCUGAGUCUGACAUCGUAGAAGAACCAUUCUUGCAUCAGAUUGUUAUUAUUAAAUUUCAUUAUCUUUAAUAACUUUUGUGAUUAUUACACAAAUUGACUCCCAUAAUUUAUGCUUGUGUGUUUUCUUUAAUAAAGAAUAUUUUAAAGUUUUUCUAAUUAUAA